rnacentral:rRNA from 1 species
GAUGAACGCUGGCGGCGUGCUUAACACAUGCAAGUCGAACGGUGAAGGCGGAGCUUGCUCUGCUGGAUCAGUGGCGAACGGGUGAGUAACACGUGAGCAAUCUGCCCCUGACUCUGGGAUAAGCGCUGGAAACGGCGUCUAAUACUGGAUACGAGCUGCGAAGGCAUCUUCAGCAGCUGGAAAGAAUUUCGGUCAGGGAUGAGCUCGCGGCCUAUCAGCUUGUUGGUGAGGUAAUGGCUCACCAAGGCGUCGACGGAUAGCCGGCCUGAGAGGGUGACCGGCCACACUGGGACUGAGACACGGCCCAGACUCCUACGGGAGGCAGCAGUGGGGAAUAUUGCACAAUGGGCGAAAGCCUGAUGCAGCAACGCCGCGUGAGGGACGACGGCCUUCGGGUUGUAAACCUCUUUUAGCAGGGAAGAAGCGAAAGUGACGGUACCUGCAGAAAAAGCGCCGGCUAACUACGUG